UACGUAGGGUGCAAGCGUUUGUCCGAAAUUAUUGGGCGUAAAGAGCUCGUAGGCGGUCUGUCACGUCGGCUGUGAAAUCCCGAGGCUCAACCUCGGGUCUGCAGUCGAUACGGGCAAACUAGAGUAUUGCAGGGGAGACUGGAAUUCCUGGUGUAGCGGUGAAAUGCGCAGAUAUCAGGAGGAACACCGGUGGCGAAGGCGGGUCUCUGGGCAAUAACUGACGCUGAGGAGCGAAAGCGUGGGGAGCGAACAGG
rnacentral:rRNA from 1 species